rnacentral:rRNA from 1 species
GAUGAACGCUAGCGGGAGGCUUAACACAUGCAAGUCGAGGGGCAGCAUAGGGUAGCAAUACUCUGAUGGCGACCGGCAAACGGGUGAGUAACGCGUAUGCAACCUACCCUGUACAGGGGGAUAACCCGGAGAAAUUCGGACUAAUAUCCCGUAAUAAUAUCCGGAGGCAUCUUUGGAUAUUUAAAGUUUCGACGGUACGGGAUGGGCAUGCGUAACAUUAGCUGGUUGGUAAGGUAACGGCUUACCAAGGCUAUGAUGUUUAGGGGUCCUGAGAGGGUGGUCCCCCACACUGGUACUGAGACACGGACCAGACUCCUACGGGAGGCAGCAGUGAGGAAUAUUGGUCAAUGGGCGCAAGCCUGAACCAGCCAUCCCGCGUGCAGGAAGACGGCCCUAUGGGUUGUAAACUGCUUUUCCAGGGAGAGAAACUUACGCACGUGUUGCGUGACUGACGGUACCCUGGGAAUAAGCAUCGGCUAACUCCGUGCCAGCGGCCGCGGUAAACACGAGAGUA